GUGAGACUUCUGAGACUGCGGCCAGAGCCCCGCCGCCCGUCCCGACCUCUGAAGCGGGAAGGCGGGCUGAUGCCCGUCAUCUGCGUGCGACUUCCGAGACUGCGGCUGGAGGCCUGCCGCCCGUCCCGACCCCGGACGCUAGAAGAUGGGAUGCUCUUCAUCUGUGUACAACUACUGGGGCGACGGUUGGAGCCCCGUCUCGUGUUUCCCCACCUACCUCUGAGACGGGAGUUUGUGGGUCAGUAAAAACCUCUUAUUCAACAGCACUGCCAACUGAACUGAUCGACAUGACGCCGUUCUCUGCAAGCGAGUACGACCUUAUGUCACCCACCUGCUCUACUUCGAGGGCUUCAGUCCAGGAUGCAGGGGACCAUGGCACAUGGACUUUUCCUGAGCACUUGAUGUGCAAUCAAACAGAGAUCACGGCUCCCGAGAACCACCAUUUGGAGGAGAACGAAUACGGAGAACAGGGAGCUGAGUCUGAUGUCAGCGACGGUGUUGAGGUGGCUCCGCCCCAGCACAGUUCUCAGUCGCGUACAUCUCAGUCGGCGAGGAACGGCGCAUCGUGCGGCGAAGUGCGGAAAAAAAAUGUUUGCAUAUAUUGCAAGCAAAAGAGAAAUCUGAUAUGGCGCCAUAUCAAGACGGUCCACCGUGACGAGAAGGAAGUCAAGGAUAUACAGGAGUGUGAUUCUGAGCAGGAACGAAAAAUGAAAAUCACCGUGAUGAUCAACAAAGGCAACAUGGAGCACAACAAACUCGUCCUACAAAGGGUGAAGGUGACAUGAUCUUGGGAAGGAAGUCGGACCAGGCGUCCGUGGACGACUACGUGCCAUGUCCUUACUGCUAUCUUUUUGUGGUUAAAACCAACAUGAUGCAGCACAUAAAACAUCACUGUGUGGCUCGCAAAACAGAAUGCCCAGACAUUCCCACGGUGCUGGCAGAGAGCCGGACGCUCCUGAGUGACGGCCAAGAAAAAUACUGGGUAUCACAAGGACAUAUUGUCUCGUAUGCACGACGAUGCAGUUACGAAGACCAUAAAGAACGAUGAACUCCUGAAGAAGUGGGGUGCCAACUUGCACGCGAAACUUGGAAGGUCGGGUUUUGCGCAGAUAAGCCAGCGCCUAAGGAUGAUGGGCGAAGUUGUCCAAGCAGCCGGAAAGAGCAUGCAAGAGCUGAUCAAUGGCGAAGGAUUUGAUACGGUUGUAAGUGCCACCAAAUCCGUCUGUGGGUUUGAGCAGGACAAGCUAAACGCCCACACGGGGCUGCCCACAUACAAAACUCCUUCAAAGGCCAUGCGGAUUGGAGGCGAACUACGACAGCUGGCUGCUCUCAAGAAGGGCAUUGCGCUGAUCAAGAAAGAAGAAAGCGAAGUGAAAGAUGCUGAGGCGUUCUUGUAUCACGUGGACCAAUUCUGGAAUGUGAAGAUCAGCAGCGUAGCGCUGAAGAACCGCGAGUCGAACAAGUAUGACAAGAAAGACAUGCUGCCCUUUACCAGCGAUUUGAAGCUUUUCACCGAAAAAAUGAAGGAACGAGUGAAAGAAAUGACAGAAAAGGGAAUACAUGGCAUGACAGACUAUGCAAGGCUGAGCAAAGCGGUUCUCGCCCGUUUGCUAGUAUUCAACAAACGCCGUCCUAAGGAGCUUAGCAGCAUCCUGCUGCAAUCAUGGAUCAACCGAGAGAUGUACAAACAAGAGACGGUAGAAGAAGUGAACAAGUCAAUGGGUGAAACAGAAAAGAAGUUGUUCAACGAGCUCGACGUCGUCAUGUCCCGCGGCAAGUGCGGGAACAAGGUCCCCACCCUGAUACCGAGCGACUGCGCGGCUCCGCUGCAGCUACUGGUAGACAACCGGGAGACGUACAUUGACAAGGAUAACAAGUAUCUGUUCGCAAACCCUCUGGCGAGGACUACAGGACACUACAACGCAGGCGUGGUGCUUAAAGAGCAGUUGUCGGACAUGGCACUAAACAGGGCAGAUCUCUUCCAUGCAACAAAACUACGGAAAUAUUGUGCUACAACGUCCCAGAUUCUAGAGAUGGGUGAAUUCGAUAUGGAGGUGCUCACCCGGCACAUGGGACAUGACAAAGACGUGCAUCGUGGUACUACAGACUGUCAGACGCUACUCACGAACUGACGCGUGCCUCCAUCCUGAUGAUGAAGCUGGACGAAGGAUGCCUCUCAAAAUAUAGCGGACGGAGCCUGGAGGAGAUGCUCACUGAAGAGGACUUCGACGAGCCAGGCUCUGAAAAUGAGGGCGGUCCGGCUGAUGAUCGCCAAGAGGACGAUGAAGGAGGCCAUGAACAGCGGAAGAAGGACCGCAAAAAAAAGCGAUAUGUAAAGUGGUCUGUGCCCGAAGUGCAGAGACUGCGGGCGAUACUGAAAGCCCGCGGUGGGCGGGUACCCAGUAUGGAUGACCUCAGAGACCUGUACAAGAGGGAGCCGUUCAACGGCCAUAAUCUGAAUGACAUAAGAUGCAAGAUGUACAAACUUAAACAGAAGGCAUUCGGUGGUCCCUGCCCUCAGGAGUGAGCUGCUGGAGCGGCCGGGCCGGGCUGUUCUGGGUUGGGUCCGGACGGGACUUGGGGACCGGCGCCGCCCGCGGCGUCAAAUACAUGUGUCUGCCCGCGCCCCGAUGCCGCCCGCGGCGACAAUACAUGUGUCUGCCCGCGCCCCGAUGCCGCCCGCGGCGACAAUACAUGUGCCUGCCCGCGCCCCGAUGCCGCCCGCGACGUCAGCAGUGCUCUCUGUGGCAGCCAGUGAACAGCCGCCACAUGGCCUAUGUCAGGAUCGCUCGAGGCGCUGCAGUAGGUCCUGCUGGCCGUGUCCGGUGUUUGGUUGUCAAGCUCUGAAGCACCGUUUUUGUUGAGUUUGGUUAUCAAGCUCAGAAGUCAGAGGCACCGUUUUUGCUGCGUGAUACCGAUGGCACGGACGCAUGUACCAUGUUCGGUUGUGUCUCGUGUGCCUGGUGUAAGUCUAGUGAUUGUGUUGAUCCGAUCGAGUCUGUGCUAGGGUCCAGUGGCAGCGCCCGAUGCCGUCGGUCCAUGUGUGGUCGGCAAAGGGUGGCCAGCGGCCUAGCGUACGUCGGAGUCGUGAGCGUCAAGAUGGCGUGUGAAGUGUGUAUGGGUUGUUGUGUAUCUCGAUAACGUGUUUCCUCAUAAUGGUUUCGAUGCUGUAAGUUCUCGUAAGUCCGUUGUCAUCAGUUGUUCUCUGGUGUCCGUCCUUCCCUGUUCGGCACUGGCAGCGGUGCCCGGUGAUAGGGCUGAAUCGGGCCGGGGGCUGGGCUGUGCUGGGUUGGGUCCGGAUGGGACUCGCGGCCCGGAGCCGCCCGCGGCGUCAGUAAGUACAUACAUUGAGUUUUACAUUGAGACAGAAGCACCGUUUUUGUUGAGUGACACCGAUGGCACGGACUUGAGUACCAUGAUCCGUUGUGUGUUGUGUGCCUGGUGUAAGAUUGUGUUGAUCCGAUCGAGUCUGUGCUAGGGUCCAGUGGCAGCGCCCGAUGCCGUCGGUCCAUGUGUGGUCGGCAAAGGGUGGCCAGUCCGGCAGCUGCAUUUUUGUGUCCUUAUUGAAAUACACUGUCAGUCGUCAGAAAA
rnacentral:misc_RNA from 1 species